GACGAACGCUGGCGGCGUGCUUAACACAUGCAAGUCGAACGGAAAGGCCCUGCUUUUGUGGGGUGCUCGAGUGGCGAACGGGUGAGUAACACGUGAGUAACCUGCCCUUGACUUUGGGAUAACUUCAGGAAACUGGGGCUAAUACCGGAUAGGAGCUCCUGCUGCAUGGUGGGGGUUGGAAAGUUUCGGCGGUUUGGGAUGGACUCGCGGCUUAUCAGCUUGUUGGUGGGGUAGGGGCUUACCAAGGCUUUGACGGGUAGCCGGCCUGAGAGGGUGACCGGCCACAUUGGGACUGAGAUACGGCCCAGACUCCUACGGGAGGCAGCAGUGGGGAAUAUUGCACAAUGGGCGGAAGCCUGAUGCAGCAACGCCGCGUGCGGGAUGACGGCCUUCGGGUUGUAAACCGCUUUCGCCUGUGACGAAGCGUGAGUGACGGUAAUGGGUAAAGAAGCACCGGCUAACUACGUG
rnacentral:rRNA from 1 species